UUCUACUGCGUUGCCUUUUCGCAAAGUUCCAAACGCGGCUCUGAAGUCUGAACAGCUCUCCGUCUCUCUCUUCAACGACUCGGAAGAAGCAGAAGAAGAAUAAAGAACAAUCGGUGUUUGGAUUUCUCUCUCGUCUCUGGCGGCCUUGGCGAUCAAGAGUAACAACUCGGUUUUGGAAUUUAUCUUGGCAUAACUUGGUGUAGCUAUCAGUCAAAGUUGACAGUUCUGGUGUCUGCUGUUCCAUUCGGUGUAUAUGAGCAAACAUGGGGUCCGCUUGUUGUGUAGCUGCUAGAGACAGAACAAUAACAAAUAGAACAAGUGAUGAAAUUUUCCAAGGAAAUGUAAGGUAUUCACCAUCAUGGAGUUUUCGGUGGGAUAACCGAAGGCGAGUAGCAGGGGAAGAGACUCCUGAGAAUUGGACUUCCGAUGGAGGUGUCCAGAAUGACAGAAUGGAGAUAAAAUCUCAAUCACUGGUAGGAACUGCUUAUGCAUCAGAAGAAGGAAGUCCAUUAGAUAGCUCUAGGACAUUGACAUGGCAGAAGUCCCAAACUUCUGAAAUAAAUGGAGAAAUUUCGAGGCUUCCUUUAUCAGAUCAAUCCAACUCUAGAGACUCUCUUACAGAGUUGAAGGAGCCAACAGAAACACCUACAGUGUCAAAUCUGUCUGCUGCAAAACUGUCGCCUUUCGAGCAUUCAAUUUCAUCACUGUCUACCUCCCCUUUGUCAUCUCAAGGCCAAGUUCUUCCUGCAAGCUCAACUCCAACAAGGCGGCCGCAUCAUUCCCCAGGACACCAGCUAUCACACCAAGUAUCUGGUAGGCGGAUUCCACGGCAUAAGUCACGGAACUUCUCAAUUUCUGAAGAUACAUCUUUUAUGGCCCUGGGCUGGAGCAAUGAAUCAACUAGGGACUCUAAUGGUGGCUCGUCUGAUUGUUGGUCAAUACCUGCCUUCCCCGAGUUCAUGCCAUCUUUUCAUAGGGAAAGGUGGUCAAUGGAUAGUGAGCAACUGAGCUUCAUUGAUGAGAAGAUAGCCAGAUCUAGUAGCCAGUUUUCAGCAUCUCCCUCUAUCGAUAUCAAGACCUGUGGGGUUUGCUCAAGGCUGUUGACUGAGAAAUCUUCGUGGGGUAGCCAGAAAAUAAUAGCUACUAAUGAGCUGGCUGUUGUUGCUGUUCUAAUUUGUGGACAUGUUUACCAUGCUGAGUGCUUAGAGAAUAUGACACCUGAAUUCAACAAGUAUGAUCCUGCUUGUCCAGUUUGUACUUUUGGAGAGAAGCAGACACAGAAGUUGUCUGAACGAGCUUUAAGAGCCGAAAUGGACUUGAAGGCCAGAAACAAAAGAUCAAGAAACCGAAUUGUGUAUAGCGAUCUUGAUGGUGGUUGUAUUGUGUCAGAUGGCCAGAAAAGUGAUGGGUUUGAGGUGAAAGGUCUCAAGAAUAUCUCAAGCUCCAGCAUGAAAAAUUCCUUGGUGAAGCCCCUGUUAAGGCGGCACUUUUCCUUUGGGUCAAAAGGAGCUAAACUUUUGUCAGAGAAUCACUCUAAGCGAAAGAAGGGAUUCUUCUGGUCAAAGUCUGUGAAGUAUUAAGCUGGCUUCUGGCGCUCAAUAGCACAAGACUGAUACGUGUAUUCAAGCUAAAUUUAAAACUUAGCCUACCUUUCAGUGGCUCUGGAAAAGCACAACAGUGGGGAGGUUAUAGGAUCGAUCCUCUGCUCGAUGAUGUUGACCAUUUAGACAAAGGAAGCAGGUCAACCGCUCGGGUGGGUGUUGCCAACAACAACCUUCUGCACUUGUACUCUGUAAUUUCCAGCAGGAAUAGAUUUGUUUCUGAAGUUACACUGUAAAGAAGGAAAAUUACAUAAAAAUUAACUAAUAAAUAGGAAGAUGGGGAGGGGGAUAGUUUAUGGAAAAUACAUAUUAAUUGGUUCUUUCGCAUGGAUUAGUCCAUGAAAUGAGCCCGAAGAUAUCUGUAUGACUUAGAAUUCUUGAUUCUACAAACAAGGCGGCAGCUUUGCCCACUCUUUUUGAGUGCCUUUGUAUUGUGGGCAUCUGGACGCUACGCAAUUACAGUCUUUAAGUAAUAUUACAACUAUAAUGGAGUUAGCAAUUGAUUUGA